AUGAAGGGCGGCGGAGCCAUCCGGAGCGGCGGCGGGGGCGGCGGCGGGCUGAUGCGGACGCGGCUGCGGCUCCCCGUGGUGCUCCUCUCCUGCUCCCUCUUCUUCCUCGCCGGCUUCCUCGGCUCCCUCCUCUUCACCCAGGAUCCGCAGGGGGAGGAGGACGUGGAGCGGCCGCUGCGGAGGGAGCGGCUCAUGGAGGCGGUCUGGCCGGAGAUGGCGUACGGGGAGUCCGGCGAGCCCGCGCCCUCCUUGAUCCCUUACCAGAUUUUGAGCUGGCAACCUCGUGCAUUAUAUUUUCCACAAUUUGCAACAGCAGAACAGUGUGAGAAUGUGGUAAAAACUGCAAAGGCACGGCUUAGGCCAUCAACAUUGGCCUUAAGGAAAGGAGAAAGCGAGGAGACUACCAAAGGAAUAAGGACAAGCUCAGGCACAUUCCUUAGUGCCGAAGAAGAUCCAACUGGAGCUCUUGCAGAAAUUGAAAUGAAGAUUGCAAAGGCUACCAUGAUGCCGAGAAGUCAUGGAGAGCCAUUUAAUGUCCUUCGGUAUGAGAUUGGACAGAAGUAUGCUUCACACUAUGAUGCAUUUGACCCGGCUCAAUAUGGUCCACAAAAAAGCCAAAGGGUGGCAUCUUUCUUGCUCUAUCUCACGGAUGUCGAGGAAGGUGGAGAAACCAUGUUCCCGUACGAGAAUGGGGAUAAUAUGAACAUAGGCUACGACUACGAGCAGUGCAUCGGCUUAAAGGUAAAACCGAGGAAGGGCGACGGCCUCUUGUUUUACUCCCUUAUGGUAAAUGGUACCAUUGAUCCGACUUCACUUCAUGGAAGCUGCCCAGUGGUGAGAGGAGAGAAAUGGGUCGCCACGAAAUGGAUUAGAGACAAGACGCUGUAA
rnacentral:rRNA from 1 species